rnacentral:rRNA from 1 species
CUCCUACGGGAGGCAGCAGUGGGGAAUAUUGGACAAUGGGCGCAAGCCUGAUCCAGCCAUACCGCGUGGGUGAAGAAGGCCUUCGGGUUGUAAAGCCCUUUUGUUGGGAAAGAAAAGCAGUCGGCUAAUACCCGGUUGUUCUGACGGUACCCAAAGAAUAAGCACCGGCUAACUUCGUGCCAGCAGCCGCGGUAAUACGAAGGGUGCAAGCGCUACUCGGAAUUACUGGGCGUAAAGCGUGCGUAGGUGGUUGUUUAAGUCUGUUGUGAAAGCCCUGGGCUCAACCUAGGAAUUGCAUUCGAUACUGGGAAGCUAGAGUAUGGGAGAGGAUGGUAGAAUUCCAGGUGUAGCGGUGAAAUGCGUAGAGAUCUGGAGGAAUACCGAUGGCGAAGGCAGCCAUCUGGCCUAAUACUGACGCUGAGGUACGAAAGCAUGGGGAGCAAACAGGAUUAGAUACCCUGGUAGUCCAUGCCGUAAACGAUGUCUACUAGCCGUUGGGGCCUUUGAGGCUUUAGUGGCGCAGCUAACGCGAUAAGUAGACCGCCUGGGGAGUACGGUCGCAAGACUAAAACCCAAAUGAAUUGACGGGGGCCCGCACAAGCGGUGGAGCAUGUGGUUUAAUUCGAUGCAACGCGAAGAACCUUACCUGGUCUUGACAUAGUAAGAACUUUCCAGAGAUGGAUUGGUGCCUUCGGGAACUUACAUACAGGUGCUGCAUGGCUGUCGUCAGCUCGUGUCGUGAGAUGUUGGGUUAAGUCCCGCAACGAGCGCAACCCUUUUCCUUAUUUGCCAGCGGGUUAAGCCGGGAACUUUAAGGAUACUGCCAGUGACAAACUGGAGGAAGGCGGGGACGACGUCAAGUCAUCAUGGCCCUUACGACCAGGGCUACACACGUGCUACAAUGGUCGGUACAAAGGGUUGCUACCUAGCGAUAGGAUGCUAAUCUCAAAAAGCCGAUCGUAGUCCGGAUUGGAGUCUGCAACUCGACUCCAUGAAGUCGGAAUCGCUAGUAAUCGCGGAUCAGAAUGCCGCGGUGAAUACGUUCCCGGGCCUUGCACACACCGCCGU